rnacentral:rRNA from 1 species
CAGUCGCCACGGUAAUACGUAGGGUGCAAGCGUUAAUCGGAAUUACUGGGCGUAAAGCGUGCGCAGGCGGUUUGUUAAGACAGAUGUGAAAUCCCCGGGCUCAACCUGGGAACUGCAUUUGUGACUGGCAAGCUAGAGUCUGGCAGAGGGGGGCGGAAUUCCGCGUGUAGCAGUGAAAUGCGUAGAUAUGCGGAGGAACACCGAUGGCGAAGGCAGCCCCCUGGGCCAACACUGACGCUCAUGCACGAAAGCGUGGGGAGCAAACAGGAUUAGAUACCCCAGUAGUCCCUGUCUCUUAUAC